rnacentral:rRNA from 1 species
GACGAACGCUGGCGGCGUGCUUAACACAUGCAAGUCGAACGGAAAGGCCCUGCUUUUGUGGGGUGCUCGAGUGGCGAACGGGUGAGUAACACGUGAGUAACCUGCCCUUGACUUUGGGAUAACUUCAGGAAACUGGGGCUAAUACCGGAUAGGGGCUCCUGCUGCAUGGUGGGGGUUGGAAAGUUUCGGCGGUUGGGGAUGGACUCGCGGCUUAUCAGCUUGUUGGUGGGGUAGUGGCUUACCAAGGCUUUGACGGGUAGCCGGCCUGAGAGGGUGACCGGCCACAUUGGGACUGAGAUACGGCCCAGACUCCUACGGGAGGCAGCAGUGGGGAAUAUUGCACAAUGGGCGGAAGCCUGAUGCAGCAACGCCGCGUGCGGGAUGACGGCCUUCGGGUUGUAAACCGCUUUCGCCUGUGACGAAGCGUGAGUGACAGUAAUGGGUAAAGAAGCACCGGCUAACUACGUGCUAGCAGCCGCGGUGAUACGUAGGGUGCGAGCGUUGUCCGGAUUUAUUGGGCGUAAAGGGCUCGUAGGUGGUUGAUCGCGUCGGAAGUGUAAUCUUGGGGCUUAACCCUGAGCGUGCUUUCGAUACGGGUUGACUUGAGGAAGGUAGGGGAGAAUGGAAUUCCUGGUGGAGCGGUGGAAUGCGCAGAUAUCAGGAGGAACACCAGUGGCGAAGGCGGUUCUCUGGGCCUUUCCUGACGCUGAGGAGCGAAAGCGUGGGGAGCGAACAGGCUUAGAUACCCUGGUAGUCCACGCUGUAAACGGUGGGUACUAGGUGUGGGGUCCAUUCCACGGGUUCCGUGCCGUAGCUAACGCUUUAAGUACCCCGCCUGGGGAGUACGGCCGCAAGGCUAAAACUCAAAGGAAUUGACGGGGCCCCGCACAAGCGGCGGAGCAUGCGGAUUAAUUCGAUGCAACGCGUAGAACCUUACCUGGGUUUGACAUGGAUCGGGAGUGCUCAGAGAUGGGUGUGCCUCUUUUGGGGUCGGUUCACAGGUGGUGCAUGGCUGUCGUCAGCUCGUGUCGUGAGAUGUUGGGUUAAGUCCCGCAACGAGCGCAACCCUUGUUCACUGUUGCCAGCACGUUAUGGUGGGGACUCAGUGGAGACCGCCGGGGUCAACUCGGAGGAAGGUGGGGAUGACGUCAAGUCAUCAUGCCCCUUAUGCCCAGGGCUUCACGCAUGCUACAAUGGCUGGUACAGAGAGUGGCGAGCCUGUGAGGGUGAGCGAAUCUCGGAAAGCCGGUCUCAGUUCGGAUUGGGGUCUGCAACUCGACCUCAUGAAGUCAGAGUCGCUAGUAAUCGCAGGUCAGCAACGCUGCGGUGAAUACGUUCCCGGG